AUUGAACGCUGGCGGCAGGCCUAACACAUGCAAGUCGAACGAGUGGCGGACGGGUGAGUAAUGUCUGGGCAACUGCCCGAUGGAGGGGGAUAACUACUGGAAACGGUAGCUAAUACCGCAUACCAUCGGAUGUGCCCAGAUGGGAUUAGCGAGUAGGUGGGGUAACGGCUCACCUAGGCGACGAGCCCUACCUGGGCUGAGAGGAUGACCAGCCACCCUGGAACGGAGACACGGUCCAGACGACUACGGUAGGCAGCAGUGGGUAAUAUUGCACAAUGGGCGCAAGCCUGAUGCAGCCAUGCCGCGUGUAUGAAGAAGGCCUUCGGGGUGUAAAGUACUUUCAGCGAUGAGGCGUUACUCGCAGAAGAAGCACCGGCUAACUCCGUGCCAGCAGCCGCGGUAAUUC
rnacentral:rRNA from 1 species